rnacentral:misc_RNA from 1 species
GAUGAAACAGAGAAUACCCAUGAGUUAAUCCGAAAAUGGAGGUCCAAAAAGAUAUUUUUAUACAAGUGAUGCAACCUCUGAAGUUUCGCUUUUGAUAUUUUUCUUAGUGGCAUAUAUACAAAAGUUAUACGUAAUUUGACACAAGUCCUAAAGCAUCAAUCUAUGCUUCUGAAGGUUUCCUCAAACAGCAAAAUCUUGAACAAUUUAUUUUAGGAGAUGAGAACAUUUUUGUUUAGUUAAAACUUAAGAGCUUUACUUACAAAUGUUAACAAAAAUAGCCAAGGGAAAACAGGCA